AGAGUUUGAUCCUGGCUCAGGAUGAACGCUAGCGGCAGGCCUAAUACAUGCAAGACGAACGGUAAGUUGAGUAGCAAUACUUAGCCAAGAGUGUCGUACGGGUGCGUAACACGUAUGCAACCUACCCUAUACAGGAGGAUAGCCUAGGGAAACCUGGAUUAACCCUUCAUAGUAUUAUUGGAUGGCAUCAUUUGAUAAUUAAAACUGAGGUGGUAUAGGAUGGGCAUGCGUCUGAUUAGUUAGUUGGCGGGGUAAUGGCCCACCAAGACGAUGAUCAGUAGGGGUUCUGAGAGGAAGAUCCCCCACACUGGCACUGAGAUACGGGCCAGACUCCUACGGGAGGCAGCAGUAGGGAAUAUUGGUCAAUGGAUGCAAGUCCGAACCAGCCAUGCCGCGUGCAGGAAGAAGGCCCUCUGGGUUGUAAACUGCUUUUGCCAGGGGAUAAAAUUUCCAUGCGUGGAAAACUGAAGGUACCUGGUGAAUAAGCCACGGCUAACUACGUG
rnacentral:rRNA from 1 species